rnacentral:rRNA from 1 species
UACGGAGGGGGCUAGCGUUGUUCGGAAUUACUGGGCGUAAAGCGCGUGUAGGCGGCUCGGUAAGUCCGCUCUGAAAGCCCGGGGCUCAACCCCGGGAGGCGGGUGGAUACUGCCGGGCUAGAGUCCGGAAGAGGCGAGUGGAAUUCCUGGUGUAGCGGUGAAAUGCGCAGAUAUCAGGAGGAACACCAAUUGCGAAGGCAGCUCGCUGGGACGGUACUGACGCUGAGACGCGAAAGCGUGGGGAGCGAACAGG